rnacentral:rRNA from 1 species
AUUGAACGCUGGCGGCAGGCCUAACACAUGCAAGUCGAACGAGUGGCGGACGGGUGAGUAAUGUCUGGGAAACUGCCCGAUGGAGGGGGAUAACUACUGGAAACGGUAGCUAAUACCGCACACCAUAGGAUGUGCCCAGAUGGGAUUAGCGAGUAGGUGGGGUAACGGCCCACCAAGGCGACGAUCCGUAGCUGGUCUGAGAGGAUGACCAGCCACACUGGAACUGAGACACGGUCCAGACUCCUACGGGAGGCAGCAGUGGGGAAUAUUGCACAAUGGGCGAAAGCCUGAUGCAGCCAUGCCGCGUGUGUGAAGAAGGUCUUCGGAUUGUAAAGUACUUUAAGCUGGGAGGCGUUACUAACAGAAGAAGCACCGGCUAACUCCGUGCCAGCAGCCGCGGUAAUAC